rnacentral:rRNA from 1 species
UACGUAGGUGGCAAGCGUUGUCCGGAUUUACUGGGCGUAAAGCGCGCGCAGGCGGCUGGGCAAGUCCGAUGUGAAAGCUUCCGGCUUAACUGGAAAAUUGCAUCGGAAACUGCUCGGCUUGAAGGUGGGAGAGGGUAGCGGAAUUCCGGGUGUAGUGGUGGAAUGCGUAGAGCUCCGGAGGAACACCAGUGGCGAAGGCGGCCGCCUGGGACUUUGCUGACGCUGAGCCGCGAAAGCGUGGGGAGCGAGCCGG